AUUGAAAGCUGGCGGCAGGCCUAACACAUUCAAGUCGAACGAGUGGCGGACGGGUGAGUAAUGUCUGGGAAACUGCCCGAUGGAGGGGGAUAACUACUGGAAACGGUAGCUAAUACCGCAUACCAUCAGAUGUGCCCAGAUGGGAUUAGCUAGUUGGGGGGGUAACGGCUCACCAAGGCGACGAUCCCUAGCUGGUCUGAGAGGAUUACCACGCACACGUGAACGGAGACACGGUCCAGACUCCUACGGGAGGCAGCAGUGGGGAAUAUUGCACAAUGGGCGCAAGCCUUAUUCAGCCAUGCCGCGUGUAUGAAGAAGGCCUUCGGGUUGUAAAGUACUUUCAGCGGGGAGGCGUUACCCGCAGAAGAAGCACCGGCUAACGCCGUGCCAGCAGCCGCGGUAAUAC
rnacentral:rRNA from 1 species